rnacentral:rRNA from 1 species
GCCUCUUAAUUAGAGACUCGUAUGAACGGUGAAACAUUUCAAUUACUUUAUUAAUUAACUUUAUCAAAUUUAAACCAAGAAUAAAAAUGUUCUUAUAAAUUAAUUAGACGACAAGACCCUUUUGAACUUUACUAUUGUUUAGCUGGGGUAGCUAUAAAAUAUUAAUCUUCUUAACUUUAUUUAUAUAAAUGACCCAAUUCAAUUGAUUAUUUGAACAAGUUACCAUAGGGAUAACAGCGUAAUAUUUUUUAAAAGUUCUUAUUUAAAAAAAUGAUUGCGACCUCGAUGUUGAAUUAAUGUAACUUUAUUGAUGAAGUAAUCAUAAAAGUUGGUCUGUUCGACCAUUAAAACAUUACGUGAUCUGAGUUCAAACC